rnacentral:rRNA from 1 species
UCGUAAAACUCUGUUGUUAGAGAAGAACAAGGAUGAGAGUAACUGUUCAUCCCUUGACGGUAUCUAACCAGAAAGCCACGGCUAACUACGUGGGAGCAGCCGCGGUAAUACGAUGGUGGCAAGCGUUGUCCGGAUUUAUUGGGCGUAAAGCGAGCGCAGGCGGUUUUUUAAGUCUGAUGUGAAAGCCCCCGGCUCAACCGGGGAGGGUCAUUGGAAACUGGGAGACUUGAGUGCAGAAGAGGAGAGUGGAAUUCUGUGUAGCGGUGAAAUGCGUAGAUAUAUGGAGGAACACCAGUGGCGAAGGCGGCUCUCUGGUC